ACAAAAUGGCGGCCAGGAAGCGAUUUUUAUGAAUGAUAACCACAAUGUUUGCUGUUUUAUAAGCAAAAUAUGAUAUGUCAGGGGAUGUCUUGUCAGCCCGUGGAUACAUAAGCUGAGGACCACUGCCACCAGCUGUUGGUCACACCAUCACCACCACCCACAACAGAGAACUGGGCACAGAGUACACAGUCGCUAAUGUAGAGUCUUUAGGCUAAGCCAGGAGAGACACACAAACACAACCGGACACAUUGAUGUUCCAGUCUGCCUGGUGUCCGCCGCCACGCCACACCACUUUUGGUGUCUCAGGGUUAGGGGACCAGCGCAAGGGUGGGGCUCCCCUGUUAGGGUCUUAGGGUCAGGGAACUAGGGCAAGGGUGGGG